UGGACUCGUUGGACGAUAUCUCCCUGAGGGCUUUGAGCGUGGCCUCCCUCGCCGGCAGGCUGCCCGUCUUCAUGAUGCUCACCAGCAGCUCCCCGACCUGCUCCGCCACCACAACCUUGACGUCGUUGGCCAGUGCAAGCUCGCCAAGGUACUCCGCCAUGGCCACCUGAACCUGAGGUGUGCCUUCGAUGAGCUUGGUAAGCAGAGGCUGCAGCCUGCCGUUCUCGGCCAUCUGCUUGACGUUCGUCUCGUGCUUCUCCAGGUUCUUGAGCGUGUUCUCGGCUUUCUCCACGGCCACGAGGUUCUCCGAUUUGCUGCUCCCCAUCCCGACCAAGAGAAGUAUUGCCCCGUAGACCGCACCGAUCCUUUGGCAUAUGGGGUCGAGCUUGGAGAGCUCGUACAGCAGCGAC
rnacentral:lncRNA from 1 species